AGUGGCAGACGGGUGAGUAACGCGUGGGAACGUACCUUUCGCUACGGAAUAGCUCCGGGAAACUGGUGGUAAUACCGUAUACGCCCUCAGGGGGAAAGAUUUAUCGGCGAAAGAUCGGCCCGCGUUGGAUUAGCUAGUUGGUGAGGUAAUGGCUCACAAAGGCGACGAUCCAUAGCUGGUCUGAGAGGAUGAUCAGCCACACUGGGACUGAGACACGGCCCAGACUCCUACGGGAGGCAGCAGUGGGGAAUCUUGCACAAUGGGCGAAAGCCUGAUGCAGCCAUGCCGCGUGAAUGAUGAAGGCCUUAGGGUUGUAAAAUUCUUUCGUCAGGGAUGAUAAUGACCGUACCUGAAGAAGAAGCCCCGGCUAACUUCGUGCCUGCAGCCGCGGUAAUACGAAGGGGGCUAGCGUUGUUCGGAAUUACUGGGCGUAAAGCGCACGUAGGCGGACUUUUAAGUCAGGUGUGAAAUCCCGGGGCUCAACCUCGGAACUGCAUUUGAAACUGGAAGUCUUGAGACCAGGAGAGGUUAGCGGAAUACCGAGUGUAGAGGUGAAAUUCGUAGAUAUUCGGUGGAACACCAGUGGCGAAGGCGGCUAACUGGACUGGUACUGACGCUGAGGUGCGAAAGUGUGGGGAGCAAACAGGAUUAGAUACCCUGGUAGUCCACACCGUAAACGAUGAGAGCUAGUUGUUGGCA
rnacentral:rRNA from 1 species